GGUGGUGGUCAAUAGAGAGUUCUAUAAUUAAAUUAACAUUCAGUUUGGAGAUCGUCUUAAUGUCAAGAAAGAGCCUGUGAGAAGCAAAGCCAAACCCAAGACCAGAAUGAUUUCACAGACUAUGGAAGAGAUCCAUCCACAUGGAAUGUCUUAGUCAUAAGACAUGUCUCAUCAUGUUCCUGGAGGACUUGGUAGAUGGUGUUUUUUCUGAGACCUUCCAUGGAUCAUAAUCCUUGGCAUGAGAUAACAGCACCUCUUUUCGUGGACAGCAUG